rnacentral:rRNA from 1 species
UUGUCCUUAGUUACCAGCACGUUAUGGUGGGCACUCUAAGGAGACUGCCGGUGACAAACCGGAGGAAGGUGGGGAUGACGUCAAGUCAUCAUGGCCCUUACGGCCUGGGCUACACACGUGCUACAAUGGUCGGUACAAAGGGUUGCCAAGCCGCGAGGUGGAGCUAAUCCCAAUAAAACCGAUCGUAGUCCGGAUCGCAGUCUGCAACUCGGCUGCGUGAAGUCGGAAUCGCUAGUAAUCGUGAAUCAGAAUGUCACGGUGAAUACGUUCCCGGGCCUU